AUUGAACGCUGGCGGCAGGCCUAACACAUGCAAGUCGAGCGGAUGAAGGUAGCUUGCUACCUGAUUCAGCGGCGGACGGGUGAGUAAUGCCUAGGAAUCUGCCUGGUAGUGGGGGACAACGUUUCGAAAGGAACGCUAAUACCGCAUACGUCCUACGGGAGAAAGUGGGGGAUCUUCGGACCUCACGCUAUCAGAUGAGCCUAGGUACGAUUAGCUAGUUGGUGAGGUAGAGGCUCACCAAGGCGACGAUCGUUAACUGGUCUGAGAGGAUGACCAGUCACACUGGAACUGAGACACGGUCCAGACUCCUACGGGAGGCAGCAGUGGGGAAUAUUGGACAAUGGGCGAAAGCCUGAUCCAGCCAUGCCGCGUGUGUGAAGAAGGUCUUCGGAUUGUAAAGCACUUUAAGUUGGGAGGAAGGGCAGUAAGUUAAUACCUUGCUGUUUUGACGUUACCGACAGAAUAAGCACCGGCUAACUUCGUGCCAGCCGCCGCAGUAA
rnacentral:rRNA from 1 species